AGCUGCCUAAAGUGCCACUGUGGCAAGGAAAACACCAUUGUCAUCUUUAUGGAUUUGUCCAACUGUGCAAGAAAUGGCAUCCAUCAAUUAUGCAACAAGAAAGGCCUCAAUGUCGAAGAGGUCAAGGUCCUGCCCACUGGUGUGAGGAUUGACUAAUAUUGAAAGCUUUGGUGGCUUUCCGUUAUCCCCAUUAUCUAUUGACCACCUAUAGAUAGAUAAAUAGAUAGAUAAUGGGGAUAAUGGGAGCCAACAAAGCUUUUAAUAUCAGUCGAUCCUUACACCGGCGAGCAGGACCUUGACCUCCUGGACAUCAAGGCCUUUCUUGUCGCAAAAUUGAUGGAUGGUACUUCUUGCACAUUUGGACAAAUCCUUGAGGAUGUCAACAAUGUUUCCGUGCCACACUGGCACCUUAGGUAGCUUG
rnacentral:pre_miRNA from 1 species